rnacentral:rRNA from 1 species
AGACCCGAAACCCGGUGAUCUAGCCAUGGGCAGGUUGAAGGUUGGGUAACACUAACUGGAGGACCGAACCGACUAAUGUUGAAAAAUUAGCGGAUGACCUGUGGCUGGGGGUGAAAGGCCAAUCAAACCGGGAGAUAGCUGGUUCUCCCCGAAAGCUAUUUAGGUAGCGCCUCGUGAAUUCAUCUCCGGGGGUAGAGCACUGUUUCGGCUAGGGGGCCAUCCCGGCUUACCAACCCGAUGCAAACUGCGAAUACCGGAGAAUGUUAUCACGGGAGACACACGGCGGGUGCUAACGUCCGUCGUGAAGAGGGAAACAACCCAGACCGCCAGCUAAGGUCCCAAAGUCAUGGUUAAGUGGGAAACGAUGUGGGAAGGCCCAGACAGCCAGGAUGUUGGCUUAGAAGCAGCCAUCAUUUAAAGAAAGCGUAAUAGCUCACUGGUCGAGUCGGCCUGCGCGGAAGAUGUAACGGGGCUAAACCAUGCACCGAAGCUGCGGCAGCGACACUCAGGUGUUGUUGGGUAGGGGAGCGUUCUGUAAGCCUGUGAAGGUGUGUCGUGAGGCAUGCUGGAGGUAUCAGAAGUGCGAAUGCUGACAUAAGUAACGAUAAAGCGGGUGAAAAGCCCGCUCGCCGGAAGACCAAGGGUUCCUGUCCAACGUUAAUCGGGGCAGGGUGAGUCGACCCCUAAGGCGAGGCCGAAAGGCGUAGUCGAUGGGAAACGGGUUAAUAUUCCCGUACUUGGUGUUACUGCGAAGGGGGGACGGAGAAGGCUAUGUUGGCCGGGCGACGGUUGUCCCGGUUUAAGCGUGUAGGUGUGUGUUCCAGGUAAAUCCGGUUCACUUUAACACUGAGGCGUGAUGACGAGGCACUACGGUGCUGAAGCAACAAAUGCCCUGCUUCCAGGAAAAGCCUCUAAGCAUCAGGUAACAUCAAAUCGUACCCCAAACCGACACAGGUGGUCAGGUAGAGAAUACCAAGGCGCUUGAGAGAACUCGGGUGAAGGAACUAGGCAAAAUGGUGCCGUAACUUCGGGAGAAGGCACGCUGACACGUAGGUGAAGUGAUUUACUCAUGGAGCUGAAGUCAGUCGAAGAUACCAGCUGGCUGCAACUGUUUAUUAAAAACACAGCACUGUGCAAACACGAAAGUGGACGUAUACGGUGUGACGCCUGCCCGGUGCCGGAAGGUUAAUUGAUGGGGUCAGCGCAAGCGAAGCUCCUGAUCGAAGCCCCGGUAAACGGCGGCCGUAACUAUAACGGUCCUAAGGUAGCGAAAUUCCUUGUCGGGUAAGUUCCGACCUGCACGAAUGGCGUAAUGAUGGCCAGGCUGUCUCCACCCGAGACUCAGUGAAAUUGAACUCGCUGUGAAGAUGCAGUGUACCCGCGGCAAGACGGAAAGACCCCGUGAACCUUUACUAUAGCUUGACACUGAACAUUGAGCCUUGAUGUGUAGGAUAGGUGGGAGGCUUUGAAGCGUGGACGCCAGUCUGCGUGGAGCCGACCUUGAAAUACCACCCUUUAAUGUUUGAUGUUCUAACGUGGACCCGUGAUCCGGGUUGCGGACAGUGUCUGGUGGGUAGUUUGACUGGGGCGGUCUCCUCCUAAAGAGUAACGGAGGAGCACGAAGGUUGGCUAAUCCUGGUCGGACAUCAGGAGGUUAGUGCAAUGGCAUAAGCCAGCUUGACUGCGAGCGUGACGGCGCGAGCAGGUGCGAAAGCAGGUCAUAGUGAUCCGGUGGUUCUGAAUGGAAGGGCCAUCGCUCAACGGAUAAAAGGUACUCCGGGGAUAACAGGCUGAUACCGCCCAAGAGUUCAUAUCGACGGCGGUGUUUGGCACCUCGAUGUCGGCUCAUCACAUCCUGGGGCUGAAGUAGGUCCCAAGGGUAUGGCUGUUCGCCAUUUAAAGUGGUACGCGAGCUGGGUUUAGAACGUCGUGAGACAGUUCGGUCCCUAUCUGCCGUGGGCGCUGGAGAACUGAGGGGGGCUGCUCCUAGUACGAGAGGACCGGAGUGGACGCAUCACUGGUGUUCGGGUUGUCAUGCCAAUGGCACUGCCCGGUAGCUAAAUGCGGAAGAGAUAAGUGCUGAAAGCAUCUAAGCACGAAACUUGCCCCGAGAUGAGUUCUCCCUGAGACUUAGAGUCUCCUGAAGGAACGUUGAAGACGACGACGUUGAUAGGCCGGGUGUGUAAGCGCAGCGAUGCG